rnacentral:rRNA from 1 species
UACGUAGGGGGCAAGCGUUGUCCGGAUUUAUUGGGCGUAAAGCGCUCGCAGGUGGUUCGUUGCGUCGUGCGUGAAAGACCCCGGCUCAACUGGGGAGUGUCGUGCGAUACGGGCGGACUGGAGGCCAGUAGGGGGAUGCGGAAUUCCGGGUGUAGUGGUGGAAUGCGUAGAGAUCCGGAGGAACACCAGCGGCGAAGGCGGCAUUCUGGACUGUAACUGACACUGAGGAACGAAAGCCAGGGGAGCAAACGGG